rnacentral:lncRNA from 1 species
GCAGAUGGGGGAGGAGAGGAGCUGCUGUUGCUGUUGUUUUGGUCGAGCAGAAACAACAGGAAAGAGAGGGCGUGAUUUGGGGAAUAGAGAAGAGGUAUGGCUGGCUUCUUCUUUUUUUUCAUGUGAACUAAUGGAGAGGAAAUGUAGAGGAUUAAAGAGAGGUAUUACCUUGGGACUUAAAGGAGAAAGAAUGAGUUGUGAUUUUUGUUUUGCAUGUGAGGAAAGGGUGCAGCCGUGGGGUGCAGCCAGGGAGAAUGAAUGGCUGUGUGCCACUGGAAGUGAGGAAAAUAAAUAAAUAAAUAAAUGGAGAAGUAAAGUGGGUCUAAAAAAAUUUUGGCAUGAGCAUUUUGUGUGGAUAUUAUUUUGGCAUGAAGGG